UAGGCAGAUAGUAAAGUUCCAGAUGCUCAGGCGGCUCAUGAAAAAACCAUUACAGGAAUGCUGGCUGCUCAAGCCGGAGCAAAUCUCAUUUAUGGGCUGG
rfam:Peptococcaceae bacterium BRH_c23 BRHa_1000724, whole genome shotgun sequence.